rnacentral:rRNA from 1 species
AGAGCGAACGCUGGCGGCAGGCCUAAUACAUGCAAGUCGAACGGAUCCUUCGGGAUUAGUGGCGGACGGGUGAGUAACACGUGGGAACGUACCCUUUGGUUCGGAACAACUCAGGGAAACUUGAGCUAAUACCGAAUGUGCCCUUCGGGGAAAAGAUUUAUCGCCAUUGGAGCGGCCCGCGUCUGAUUAGCUAGUUGGUAGGGUAAAGGCCUACCAAGGCUACGAUCAGUAGCUGGUCUGAGAGGAUGAUCAGCCACACUGGGACUGAGACACGGCCCAGACUCCUACGGGAGGCAGCAGUAGGGAAUCUUGCGCAAUGGGCGAAAGCCUGACGCAGCCAUGCCGCGUGAAUGAUGAAGGUCUUAGGAUUUGUAAAAUUCUUUCAGCGGGGACGAUAAUGACGGUACCCGCAGAAGAGCCCCGGCUAACUUCGCGCCAGCAGCCGC